GACGAACGCUGGCGGCGCGCCUAACACAUGCAAGUCGAACGGAGUUAUUUCAGCUGAAGCUUUCGGGUGGACGCAGGAAUAACUUAGUGGCGAACGGGUGAGUAACGCGUGAGUAACCUGCCCUGGAGUGGGGGACAACAGUUGGAAACGACUGCUAAUACCGCAUAAGCCCACGGUGCCGCAUGGCACAGCGGGAAAAGGAUUUAUUCGCUUCAGGAUGGACUCGCGUCCAAUUAGCUAGUUGGUGAGGUAACGGCCCACCAAGGCGACGAUUGGUAGCCGGACUGAGAGGUUGAACGGGCCACAUUGGGACUGAGACACGGCCCAGACUCCUACGGGAGGCAGCAGUGGGGGAUAUUGCACAAUGGGGGAAACCCUGAUGCAGCGACGCCGCGUGGAGGAAGAAGGUUUUC
rnacentral:rRNA from 1 species